CCUACGGGCGGCAGCAGUAGGGAAUAUUGCUCAAUGGGGGAAACCCUGAAGCAGCAACGCCGCGUGGAGGAUGAAGGUUUUAGGAUUGUAAACUCCUUUUGUUAGAGAAGUUUAUGACGGUAUCUAACGAAUAAGCACCGGCUAACUCCGUGCCAGCAGCCGCGGUAAUACGGAGGGUGCAAGCGUUACUCGGAAUCACUGGGCGUAAAGAGUGCGUAGGCGGGGUAAUAAGUCAGAUGUGAAAUCCUGUGGCUUAACUAAAGAACUGCAUUUGAUACUGUUACUCUUGAGUGUAGGAGAGGUAGGUGGAAUUCUUGGUGUAGCGGUGAAAUCCGUAGAGAUCAAGAAGAAUACUCAUUGCGAAGGCAGCCUGCUGGAACAUUACUGACGCUGAUGCACGAAAGCGUGGGGAGCAAACAGGAUUAGAUACCCGGGUAGUC
rnacentral:rRNA from 1 species